AUUGAACGCUGGCGGCAUGCUUUACACAUGCAAGUCGAACGGCAGCACGGGAGCUUGCUCCUGGUGGCGAGUGGCGAACGGGUGAGUAAUGCAUCGGAACGUACCCAGUAGUGGGGGAUAGCCCGGCGAAAGCCGGAUUAAUACCGCAUAUUUCCUGAGGGAGAAAGCGGGGGACCUUCGGGCCUCGCGCUACUGGAGCGGCUGAUGUCGGAUUAGCUAGUUGGUGAGGUAAAGGCUCACCAAGGCGACGAUCCGUAGCUGGUCUGAGAGGAUGAUCAGCCACACUGGGACUGAGACACGGCCCAGACUCCUACGGGAGGCAGCAGUGGGGAAUUUUGGACAAUGGGGGCAACCCUGAUCCAGCCAUGCCGCGUGAGUGAAGAA
rnacentral:rRNA from 1 species